GGGUUGUGAGGUUAAGCGACUAAGCGUACACGGUGGAUGCCCUGGCAGUCAGAGGCGAUGAAGGACGUGCUAAUCUGCGAUAAGCGUCGGUAAGGUGAUAUGAACCGUUAUAACCGGCGAUUUCCGAAUGGGGAAACCCAGUGUGAUUCGUCACACUAUCAUUAACUGAAUCCAUAGGUUAAUGAGGCGAACCGGGGGAACUGAAACAUCUAAGUACCCCGAGGAAAAGAAAUCAACCGAGAUUCCCCCAGUAGCGGCGAGCGAACGGGGAGCAGCCCAGAGCCUGAAUCAGUGUGUGUGUUAGUGGAAGCGUCUGGAAAGGCGCGCGAUACAGGGUGACAGCCCCGUACACAAAAAUGCACAUGCUGUGAGCUCGAUGAGUAGGGCGGGACACGUGGUAUCCUGUCUGAAUAUGGGGGGACCAUCCUCCAAGGCUAAAUACUCCUGACUGACCGAUAGUGAACCAGUACCGUGAGGGAAAGGCGAAAAGAACCCCGGCGAGGGGAGUGAAAAAGAACCUGAAACCGUGUACGUACAAGCAGUGGGAGCACGCUUAGGCGUGUGACUGCGUACCUUUUGUAUAAUGGGUCAGCGACUUAUAUUCUGUAGCAAGGUUAACCGAAUAGGGGAGCCGAAGGGAAACCGAGUCUUAACUGGGCGUUAAGUUGCAGGGUAUAGACCCGAAACCCGGUGAUCUAGCCAUGGGCAGGUUGAAGGUUGGGUAACACUAACUGGAGGACCGAACCGACUAAUGUUGAAAAAUUAGCGGAUGACUUGUGGCUGGGGGUGAAAGGCCAAUCAAACCGGGAGAUAGCUGGUUCUCCCCGAAAGCUAUUUAGGUAGCGCCUCGUGAAUUCAUCUCCGGGGGUAGAGCACUGUUUCGGCAAGGGGGUCAUCCCGACUUACCAACCCGAUGCAAACUGCGAAUACCGGAGAAUGUUAUCACGGGAGACACACGGCGGGUGCUAACGUCCGUCGUGAAGAGGGAAACAACCCAGACCGCCAGCUAAGGUCCCAAAGUCAUGGUUAAGUGGGAAACGAUGUGGGAAGGCCCAGACAGCCAGGAUGUUGGCUUAGAAGCAGCCAUCAUUUAAAGAAAGCGUAAUAGCUCACUGGUCGAGUCGGCCUGCGCGGAAGAUGUAACGGGGCUAAACCA
rnacentral:rRNA from 1 species